AGACUAAGAAAUAAAAUGAAAGUUGAAGUUGAUGAUGGGAUGGACAUCCAUAAAGGAUAAAGUAUAAGAAUGAGAGAAAACAAAGGUUAAAGAAUAAGUACAGUAGGUUGGAAAGAUAUCAACAAUACCAGAAAUAGGAAAAAGGAAGUGGAUAAGAUCCAAAGGACAAGAAGAAAGCUUGUAAAGCUAGUUAUAAUGAUGAGGAUAAGGAGUGUCUAACCACUGCCCCUGUGUUAACACUACCUAUGAGCGGUGAAGGAUACACCGUGUACUGUGACGCCUCCAGAGUUGGCCUAAGGUGUGUUUUGAUGCAGAAUGGAA
rnacentral:misc_RNA from 1 species